AAAUUGUUUGCAUAUUAAUUCUGGUGGAAACAAUGUAGCCAUCAAGGAAGAUAAAGUCACAGUUGUAUAUGAAGGAGAUGGAGAUGUUGAAGGUGGUGCUGUGGAGUACUUUAUUCGUGACAAUAGUUACUGGGGGUUUAGUAGCACUGGGGAUUUCAUGGAUGAUAAUGAUUACCAAAAUACACGUUACACUCUGCAUCUCUCAUCAGCCAAUAUAUCUGAAUUAAAUAGUGUUUACGAAUGAAAUAACAUAUAACAGCCUUGGGAAGCGUGUAUUUGAUAUCUAUGUUCAGGAAAUAUUAGUGGUGAGGGACUUCACUGUUGAAGAUUACACCGGUGUUGCUCAAAAGGCAGUUGUAAAACCUAUAUCUAAUAUGAUCGUCUCAAACAAUAUUCUAGAGAUCAGGUUCUAUUGGCCUGGUAAAGGGACGACAAGAAUUCCUGAUAGAGGAGUUUAUGGUCCCCUUAUAUCAGCCAUUUCUGUAGUUUCUGAUUUCAAGCUCUGCCCGAAUGGUGCAGCCAAUCGAACUGUUUAUAUCAUUGUUGGGGUUGCAAUUGGAGCAUUAUGCC